rnacentral:rRNA from 1 species
CCUACGGGAGGCAGCAGUGAGGAAUAUUGGUCAAUGGGCGAGAGCCUGAACCAGCCAAGUCGCGUGAGGGAGUACUGCCCUAUGGGUUGUAAACCUCUUUUGUCGGGGAGCAAAAGCCGGACGUGUCCGGCUGUGAGAGUACCCGAAGAAAAAGCAUCGGCUAACUCCGUGCCAGCAGCCGCGGUAAUACGGAGGAUGCGAGCGUUAUCCGGAUUUAUUGGGUUUAAAGGGUGCGCAGGCGGAUUUUAAAGGCAGCGGUAAAAUCGUGGGGCUCACACCACUCCAGCCGUUGAAACUGGGGAUCUAGAGUGUGCGAGAGGUAUGCGGAAGGCGUGGUGUAGCGGUGAAAUGCAUAGAUAUCACGCAGAACCCCGAUUGCGAAGGCAGCAUACCGGUGCACAACUGACGCUCAGGCACGGAAGCGUGGGUAUCGAACAGGAUUAGAUACCCGUGUAGUC